AUAGUGUUCUAGAAUGAACGUUGAGUGCUGAGAGCUGCUUUUUUCCCCAAGGAGUGCUGGAUAUAUGGUGAGGAAAGGAUGCUUUUCAUUCCACACAGGAGCAGUGUGAGAGAUGGACUGUGAAAAGUUGCAAGUGCUUCCACACCAUAUGCAGCUUAAAACAUUUCAGGCUGAUAAACCAUUUUAAAAGCAGAGGUGUAAAAGAGGGAGACAGACUGAGAAAUGGACUUUCACCCUGGGAAAAUCCUUUAUGUAUCAUCCGACAGGCUUGCUCCAUGUAAGGUAAAGCCUACAUCACACAAGAAAGAAAGGAUCUGCAUGCACUAUUCCAGCCACAUCCUCAGCAAUCUUUAAAUAUUGGGAUCAAACUCGAUUAAAAACAAUCACAAAGAUAGAAUCAGCAACAAAAGAUGCUGUAACUGCUGAUCGAAGAUGUAUCCAAGUUCCUUUUUACCGACAUCUUUCUGGAGGUGAUUAAAAUGAUGCCUGAAAACUGGUGGACAAAUUUCAGAAUCUAUAUUUAAAGAAGCAAUGGAACAAUUGCCCGGAGAACAAGUUGGGGGCAGAAAUGGUAAUAAAAUUCUGACUUAAGAUACAAUAGAGAAACUUCUGAGAAUAGAAAAUAUAAUGAAUGGGAUUUCAGCACAAAUUUCAAAAGGGAAUUGAUCCACAAAGCAAUGAUAGAAAGUGUGAUUAAAAAUACCAUGCAAAUGAGAAUUCGAAUCGUUUACACCAUCUUUAUGUCUAUAGCAUUUAAGAAUGGCGGAGUAGGCCUGAUGGCAGUCAUCAUGACCUCAGUACUACUAUUUUGGAAUGCAGUACUUCAGCGCUAGACUUCCCACAACGUUCACGCUGUUAAGACAAUGCAGACUGCGCUGGCUGGGCCACGUCCGUCGUAUGAAGGAUGGUAGACUGCCAAAGGACAUCCUCUAAGGAGAACUAGCAACAGACAAGAGGAACGUUGGUAGACCCCAGCUUCGCUUCAAGGACCUCUGCAAGCGUGCCAUGAAAGCCUUAAAAGUCAACACAGAGUGCUGGGAGGAUACAGCAGAUGACCGCAACAAAUGGCGAGGUACUCUUCAACAACACCUAGAGGUUAACGGGGAGCACAGCAGACAGUGGACAACAAUUCCACAACGCCCUACACAUGCAGCAACUGUGGCAGAGCCUGCCGUUCCAGGAUCGGCCUCAAUAGUUGACUACCAGAGGCACAGUACCCAUGGUCGACCACAACCGACGGAGGCCACAGAGAGACUUCAGCUAACAGGUUCACUUAAUUUCUCAAAGCCAAAAGUGCAUUCUGCAUGAAAAAAAGAUUUAGCCACCAAAGCUACUUAAGGGGAAUCAUCAAACACGAUAAAAUCUGAAGAUGCUGGAAAUCCAAAGCAACACGCAUAAAACACUGGAUGAAUUUAGUAAGUCGGGCAGCAUCUACAGAAAAGAGUAAGCAGUCACCAUUUUGGUCCGAGACCCUUCAUCAGGUCAGAGGGUGGCAGAGAUCACAGAGGAGGAGCAGUGAGAGGGAACAUCACUGAACACUCAUCAAAGGGAAGAUAUAAGCUUCUUCAGGUUAGGCAUCCCUCAAAGAGACUUCGCAGUGUAGUAGUAUCACAAGCAAGAGAAAAUCUGCAGAGGCUGGAAAUCCAAAGCAACGCUCAAAAUGCUGGAGCCAGGCCAGGCAUCAUCCGUGAAAAAGAGUCAGCAGUCCAUGUUUCGGGCUGACACCCAUCGUCAAACAAUUCUGCUUGAACUUUAGUGACAAGUUAAGUCAUUAUGAUGCAAGGUGUGAGAUGUCAGCACUUCACUGAAGCUUUUCAAUCUACUCCUGCCCCAAGUAGAAUCUCUUGUCGGGGUAAGGACCACUUUUCCAAUGGCUGUCAAGGUGACAAUGAAAUUUAAUGUGAUUGUCUCCUUUCCUGGUUCUAGCUGGAGACACUUGCAGUUACUCUCCACUGUGGCAGUGGUAUCCCCUAUUUCAUUCUCCUGACUAAAGAGCAAGUACACGGAUGAAAGACUCGCUAAGCUUGCAGGGACUGGGCAGCAAGGCAAGAGAGCAAGGAUAGUGGUGCCUUUUGCGAGAUGACAGCUGGCUUGUCCUAUACGGAGCCCCGUUACUACCAACCCUAAAGUGUAUCUAGCUGAGCUCUUGUCAGAGGAAAGAUCGCUGGACUGCCAUAGUAUUCUGCAAGUCUUACAACCAUAAUCACUGCCACAGGAGUAGGCCAGUCUGAGCAGUCCCACCCUUCACUUGCUUGUGUUGUGUUGAACUGUGCCAUCAUUCAGCAGCUGCUCAGUCAUUCAUACCGCUCUCAGACAUGUGUGUCAGACAAAUCCAUUCUCUGGAAAAUGAACAGGGCCUUCCAGAGAGAA